UCCUCUUUACAGAGGCAGUUUGUUCCGAGUCCCCGGCAUUAUCCGCUGGUAACAGAACAUGAGGGUUGCGCUCGUUGCGGGACUUAACCCAACAUUUCACAACACGAGCUGACGACAGCCAUGCACCACCUGCACCACACCCUCGAAGGCGACUGCUUUUGGGCAGCUUGCAGUGGCAUGUCAAGCCCUGGUAAGGUUCUUCGCGUUGCAUCGAAUUAAGCCAUAUGCUCCACCGCUUGUGCGGGCCCCCGCCAAUUCCUUUGAGUUUCAACCUUGCGGCCGUAGUCCCCAGGCGGUUCACUUAAUGCGUUAGCUGCGGCACCGAAGAAUACUCCCCGACACCUAGUGAACAUCGUUUAUGGCCAAGACUAC
rnacentral:misc_RNA from 1 species